rnacentral:rRNA from 1 species
AAUCGUACCCCAAACCGACACAGGUGGUCAGGUAGAGAAUACCAAGGCGCUUGAGAGAACUCGGGUGAAGGAACUAGGCAAAAUGGUGCCGUAACUUCGGGAGAAGGCACGCUGGUGUGUAGGUGAAGUCCCUGCGGAUGGAGCUGAGACCAGUCGAAGAUACCAGCUGGCUGCAACUGUUUAUUAAAAACACAGCACUGUGCAAACACGAAAGUGGACGUAUACGGUGUGACGCCUGCCCGGUGCCGGAAGGUUAAUUGAUGGGG